GAUAGCAAUAGCAUUAGCACUGGUCUCUCCUCUGGGCCCCUGCCAAGGUACAGCAUCUGAUAGCAAUAGCAUUAGCACUGGUCUCUCCUCUGGGCCCCCAGGUACAGCAUCUGAUAGCAAUAGCAUUAGCACUGGUCUCUCCUCUGGGCCCCUGCCAAGGUACAGCAUCUGAUAGCAAUAGCAUUAGCACUGGUCUCUCCUCUGGGCCCCCAGGUACAGCAUCUGAUAGCAAUAGCAUUAGCACUGGUCUCUCCUCUGGGCCCCUGCCAAGGUACAGCAUCUGAUAGCAAUAGCAUUAGCAUUGGUCUCUCCUCUGGGCCCCCAGGUACAGCAUCUGAUAGCAAUAGCAUUAGCACUGGUCUCUCCUCUGGGCCCACAGGUACAGCAUCUGAUAGCAAUAGCAUUAGCACUGGUCUCUCCUCUGGGCCCCCGGUAUAGCAUCUGAUAGCAAUAGCAUUAGCACUGGUCUCUCCUCUGGGCCCACAGGUACAGCAUCUGAUAGCAAUAGCCUUAGCACUGGUCUCUCCUCUGGGCCCACAGGUACAGCAUCUGAUAGCAAUAGCAUUAGCAUUGGUCUCUCCUCUGGGCCCCCAGGUACAGCAUCUGAUAGCAAUUAGCAUUAGCACUGGUCUCUCCUCUGGGCCCACAGGUACAGCAUCUGAUAGCAAUAGCAUUAGCAUUGGUCUCUCCUCUGGGCCCCCAGGUACAGCAUCUGAUAGCAAUUAGCAUUAGCACUGGUCUCUCCUCUGGGCCCACAGGUACAGCAUCUGAUAGCAAUAGCAUUCGCACUGGUCUCUCCUCUGGGCCCCCGGUAUAGCAUCUGAUAGCAAUAGCAUUAGCACUGGUCUCUCCUCUGGGCCCCUGCCAAGGUACAGCAUCUGAUAGCAAUAGCAUUAGCACUGGUCUCUCCUCUGGGCCCCCAGGUACAGCAUCUGAUAGCAAUAGCAUUAGCACUGGUCUCUCCUCUCGGCCCCUGCCAAGGUACAGCAUCUGAUAGCAAU